CAUGUUUCUUGCACUCAAUAAAGAUAUGAAUGGAACAUUGAGCAAGCAGGAACCUUGAGAAUAUGCUGAUGGGACUCUGACAGAUAUUUUCAUUGAGAGGGCAUUUGAUGAGCAUGUCCGUCAUGGCAAAACUGGAGGAGGUAAUGCUCGGGAGAUGGAUUUUGAAAGCUUUCUAGACUUUGUUCUGGCCCUAGAAAACAAAGACACUCCAGAGGGUUUAACUUAUUUGUUUCAGUGUCUUGAUCUCCGUGGAAGAGGAUACCUCACAACAGCUGAUAUUCACACACUUUUCAGAGAUGUACACCAGAAAUGGAUUGGAGGGAACUAUGAGCUUUGUAUUGAGGACGUAAGAGAUUGGGACAUGGUGAAACCAUCUGACCCUCUACGGAUCACUCUGGCUGAUCUAUUGGCUUGCAAAUAGGGUGGAACUGUUGCCAGCAUGCUUGUAGAUGUGCGCGGUUUCUGGGCCCAUGACAAUAGAGAGAAUCUUCUCCAAGAAGAGGGAGAACCGGAAGAAGAAUGAUAGACGCACCGAAUUCACCGUCAGGCAUGUGUUUGCUGUAUCACGAGAGUUUGCAGUGUCAUAUAGGUUAUAAUUUUGUGAAAUAAUGGCACUAGUGGUAGUGUUAGAUUGGAAUCAGGGGCCACAAAAAAAUUGAAGGAAUACUUUUGACAACAUGUUUUAUGUCAAUCUAGGAACCCUGUACUGCAUGAUUUUUUUAACAGGUAUAUGGAAGGCAGAGCAAAGGUUGUCAUGUUGUGGGUCAGAUUUCAGCUUUUCAACAUAUUGAUGUUCAUGGUUAACUUAGUCCAUCUCUGUUUGGCUGUAGGAGUAGACAACCCCCUUUGGUGCAAACCUAUAGCAGUGAUAAGAACAACUCAACUGCCGUGCCUGUAAGAAUAAUUUUGUAUGAAAAGAAGAAAAGAGUAAGAACAAAAAAAUUAUCACAUUUUCAUGUUGAAAGAUGAAUAAGUCCAUUUGUUUA